GUGGCUUCCUGCAUUUGGCGGGGUCUUUGUCUCUCGCUGGCGCUGGCACAGGAGCUUGGGAUCCGUCUCCUCUUUCGCCUCCUCCACCUUGGGAGCCCCGGGCUACUCUCUCACAGCCCUUGUUGCCCUGUGAUCUGAAGGUCCUUGGGGACGCAUAGUUAAGGUGCCAGGACAUCCUGGAAGCUGGGAAAUGAUUUCUUCCAGACCAUGGCUGGAGAAGGAAAGAAGGUGUGUUUUGCCUGAUUCAGGGACUAUAGAGAGAACCAAGUUCUGCAGGCCUGUCACCUAAGUCUCAGGGCGGGGAGACCUUCCUUCCCCACGGGUUUGAGGCUAUGGCUAAGUGGUGAGCCUUGGGGAGAUGCAGAAAGGAUCCAUCCCAGGCACUUGGCUAGAGAAAUGUCGUCUUUUGUCUGCAACAACUGGCUGGAGAAAUAUUUCAGAAAGAUGUGUGCCUGGAACACCCAAAGGCAUACCUUUCCUUUCUCCUUGGCAUAGACCUUGCAGCACUGAAGAAAGACCAGGUUUGCAACGGAGCCUUCAAUACUCUUCAUCCCUAUGGAUCUCAGGGGCUUAUAGGGUGACAGGAGAGGAGACAAGCUAGCUUGGGAAGAGUCUUUGUCCUUCAGCUUCUCCCCUACUGAAACACUAUAUACUUGGGGCCACAGUUC
rnacentral:lncRNA from 1 species